rnacentral:lncRNA from 1 species
GUUUGAUAUAAAAGCUUGGGCUGAAUACGUUGUAUAAUGGGGCUGCAAAGGACCCAUAUGGUUUUCUUACAAAAGACAUUUUGGCCUUUCCUCCACUGUUACUGGCAGGUGCUGUACUGUUUUGGAAAUUGGCCAAGAUGAUUGAGGCCAGUGAAAGGAGCAAAAGAAGAAACAAAAACAUCAAGAAAAUAUUGCAAAAGCUAAACAACCAUAAAAGGACUGA